CUAGUGUAGCUUAAACUUAAAGCGCGGCACUGAAAAUGCCAAGACAGAUACUAAUAAAUCUCGCAAGCAU
rnacentral:tRNA from 1 species